rnacentral:rRNA from 1 species
AUUGCACGCUGGCGGCAGGCCUAACACAUGCAAGUCGAGCGGGGUUUUCGGACCUAGCGGCGGACGGGUGAGUAAUGCGUAGGAAGCUACCCGAUAGAGGGGGAUACCAGUUGGAAACGACUGUUAAUACCGCAUAAUGUCUACGGACCAAAGUGUGGGACCUUCGGGCCACAUGCUAUCGGAUGCGCCUACGUGGGAUUAGCUAGUUGGUGGGGUAAUGGCUCACCAAGGCGACGAUCCCUAGCUGGUUUGAGAGGAUGAUCAGCCACACUGGAACUGAGACACGGGCCAGACUCCUACGGGAGGCAGCAGUGGGGAAUAUUGGACAAUGGGCGCAAGCCUGAUCCAGCCAUGCCGCGAGUGUGAAGAAGGCCUUCGGGUUGUAAAGCACUUUCAGUAGGGAGGAAGGGUGUUGUGUUAAUAGCACAGCAUUUUGACGUUACCUACAGAAGAAGCACCGGCUAACUCUGUGCCAGCAGCCGCAGUAAUAC